rnacentral:tRNA from 1 species
CUGGGCGUAGCUCAGCCCGCGAAGAGCGCCUGCCUUGGAAGCAGGAGGUCGUUGGUUCAAAUCCAGCCGCCCAGACCA